UGCUCCCGGAUCAGUGGCGAACGGGUGAGUAACACGUGAGCAACCUACCCUUGACUCUGGGAUAACAGUUGGAAACAGCUGCUAAUACCGGAUACGACCCUGGAAGACAUCUUCCGGGGUGGAAAGCUCCGACGGUCAAGGAUGGGCUCGCGGCCUAUCAGCUUGUUGGUGAGGUAACGGCUCACCAAGGCGACGACGGGUAGCCGGCCUGAGAGGGCGACCGGCCACACUGGGACUGAGAUACGGCCCAGACUCCUACGGGAGGCAGCAGUGGGGAAUAUUGCGCAAUGGGCGAAAGCCUGACGCAGCAACGCCGCGUGCGGGAUGACGGCCUUCGGGUUGUAAACCGCUUUCAGCAGGGACGAAGCAACACGUGACGGUACCUGCAGGAGAAGCACCGGCUAACUACGUGCCAGCAGCCGCGGUGAUACGUAGGGUGCGAGCGUUGUCCGGAAUUAUUGGGCGUAAAGAGCUUGUAGGCGGUCUGUUGCGUCGGAAGUGAAAACUCAGGGCUUAACCCUGAGCCUGCUUUCGAUACGGGCAGACUUGAGGAAGGUAGGGGAGAACGGAAUUCCUGGUGGAGCGGUGGAAUGCGCAGAUAUCAGGAGGAACACCAGUGGCGAAGGCGGUUCUCUGGACCUUUCCUGACGCUGAGAAGCGAAAGCGUGGGGAGCAAACAGGCUUAGAUACCCUGGUAGUCCACGCCGUAAACGGUGGGCACUAGGUGUGGGACCCUUCCACGGGUUCCGUGCCGUAGCUAACGCAUUAAGUGCCCCGCCUGGGGAGUACGGCCGCAAGGCUAAAACUCAAAGGAAUUGACGGGGGCCCGCACAAGCGGCGGAGCAUGCGGAUU
rnacentral:rRNA from 1 species